GAUUUCAUGUUUUCCAGGUUAGCCUGGAACUUACUACACAGCUGAAGAUAUCCUUAAAUUCCUGGUUCUCCUGGCUCUAUUUCCUGAGUGCUGUGACUUCAGGCAUGCACCAACACACCUAGUUUAUGUGGUCCCAGGGUGAAACUCAGGGCUCUGCGUGUGCUAGUUAAGUACUCUGCCAAUGGGGCUGCCUCCCAGCUCAACUGGUGUGUGCUGUCCAGGACGCUCUUAAGCAUUGUGCGGCAUCCUUCUUGAUGGGGCUGUGUCAGUGAUCAAAAGAACAAGCCACAGUUCUUUCUUCUCCCUUUUCACACAAUCUCUGCUCUCUGUAUGUGUGCUCAGUAAUAAGAGAAGCCAGGGCCCCUGUAGGUCCCAGGAAAUGCUCUGUCAAAUCUAAAAGUAGACAAGAGCCCAUUGUCUCAUUGCAAAAGCAAAUCCUAUAUACUAACCCAGCAAAAAGCCAACUAGCUUUUAACAAGAUUCCUUAGGUUUUUUUUUUUUUUUUUAAUCCUAGUGCAUGGCAUUUUUCAUCUUAAAGUGAAUUAAGCAAGAACCAAAAGAGCUUUUUUCUUUCUUUCUUUUUUUUUUUUUUUUUUUGAAGGGUCCAUAAAUCUUGUGAUGUGAGCUCAUGGACUUUAAGCAGCCUCAAGAACUUUGAAGAAUGAAAUAUUUAGCAAGGAGACAAGUGACUGCUGUUAUGGAAACGGAUAUUACCCACCCAGCAGUGGUGUGUUCUAAGUGCUUGACAUUCCAAUCUUAAAACCCAAGAAGUGGGUCUGUGAGGUGGCUCCACAGGUGGAGAUGCAUUGCAGGCCUGGAGACCUAGGCUGGAUGGAUUCUCGUGACCCAGGAUCUGUGGCUGAGGCCACGUAUUGCUGGGAACCUCCUUCAUGGAGCAAUCUCUUCAUGACAGAACACCAAUGUCAGCAGUACCAUCCUGGUCAACCCACACCUGACAGAGAAGACUCCAUGGUGAAGGACCUUCAAGCAUGCUAGUCAGUUGCCAUAGUGACCUUCUCAAAGGGUUCUCUUUGGGCUGAGACAGAUCAGGUGGAGAGGCUCUUGGCCUGUGUUUUAGUUUCCUUUGCUAGUGCUGUGAUAACAAUCCUUUGACAGAAUCAACUUAAGGGAGAGGGUUUGUGCAGGUCCACAGUUCAAGGUUACGGUCCAUAACGGUGGGAAAUCAGGCAGAUCUUGAAGCGGUUGGUCACAUCAUAGCCACAAUGUGUAGGGGUAGGGAGACGCCCUAGCCCCGCCCCAGGCAACCUGAACAGGUGCCAGGUGGACCCCGGACUCACCCAUGAGGGCGGGGUAAAGGGAAGUCAGGAUGAUGUAAGGGAAGCUUCUUAAGAGAUGUAUGUGGAGACCUUGGCCCCUUCUCUCUGGCCGCGCUAGCUUGCUUCCUGUGAACUCGCUCUGGCUUGCGUUUUGCUCAGGUGUUUACCUGAAUAAAGAAGUCUUACCAUCACGGACUAUAGUUCA
rnacentral:lncRNA from 1 species